ACUUCAAGAGUCAACAAUGUGAACACACAGCAACACUGCCCUAAACCCUAAACCUUAAAGGGUUCAGCAGCAUGUAUAAAUACCAUGGAAGCAUGCGCUCAUGAUCACAAGCUGGGAGGUUCACCUGCGACAUCAUUGUGUGUGAAUGGACUUGAGAAGACUGAGUUUCACAUUUGCCAUACUAGGAGUUGAAAUGGCAAAGGCAGAGACUGAAAAGCGUGAAAGACAAAAGGCAAAGCUGAAGAAGAUACGCCACAACUGUGAACUGCUGCAGAUGUGGGAGAGAGACAGAAGCUGUGAGGAGCUGUGAGAAGAGAGCAUGGAGGACAAAUGAAGUCUGUUGUUGUUAAUGUGAGAACACAUGAAAAUUGGGUUGGAAAACUGUGGCCGGCUGUCUUGUGGAGGUUGAUAAAGAGUCCGUAGGAUUGCAACAAAGAGAUACAGGUGCAGCAGCCAGAGUAUUGCCGGAAGAAAUCAUCCCAAGGGUGGAAUCUCCAGACUGACACUGGGUGCUGAUCAGAAGUCUUCAGAAACCCAGCGAGAAGCUGGGACCAUUCACAGCAAAGCUGACAGCCCAGGCAGUGGUUGAGGUCAAAGAUUGUGCGGUUUGGGGCCCUACUAGUCAUCAUGAGAAGAUUCCAGAAUCACAGCAAUAACCAUAAAGCUGCGUUGGAAUGAGAGGGUGAGGGGUGAAAAGAGCACCCUCCUCCAAUAAGGGUGUGCCAAGCUCCAACUCAACGACUGCAGACUGAGACUCUGAGCCACCCAAGAGGGAUCAGCGAAUGAAUGCAGAUAACACCUGCUUAAACUGCCAAUCAAUUUCCCUGGAAAGCUUAGUAUGUUUUUAAGUUAAGGAGGUCGUUGGUGUGACAUUAAUAAUCAUAUAAAUGAUAUGCAUUUACAUGACUCUCCGAACAUCACAAACUCUGUUAGAGUCCUGAGCCUGAGUAGAAGUGAUUGGAGUAAUUAUAGCAUGCAAGAUUUACAGCAACUUGUGCGCAUUUUGUAGGGUAGGUAGACUGAUUAUCUAGCAUGUCAGUUCCUGAUGCAUAAGUGCAUAAGGCCCUCAUUGUCUGAGUAAACAUAAUAACAACAGUUGUGAGUUCUUUUGACAUGUGUACUCAAUUUUGACACCGUAAAGGUAGGAUUUGGGGUUCAUCACAUUUCAUUGAGGGAUUUUGAUCGGCCUCAAACAUGCUGGAAGCACCUAAAGCAGGAGGUUGUUCUUCCAGAGUUAAAUGUGGUUGUUUUGGUUUCCCCAAUCACUGAUGUGGGGACAGUAAAGAUGAUUGUAAAUGCCCUUGAGAGGGUUUACACCUUUUAAACAGGCCGAUGGCCCCACAAUAGUAAAGAGUACAGUACAAUGCAUAGAAAGAGAGACUGUUGUAAAA